rnacentral:hammerhead_ribozyme from 1 species
ACACCGCUGAGGAGUCCCAAACUAGGACGAAACAGCCGUCUAGUGU